rnacentral:rRNA from 1 species
GGGUUGUGAGGUUAAGCGACUAAGCGUACACGGUGGAUGCCCUGGCAGUCAGAGGCGAUGAAGGACGUGCUAAUCUGCGAUAAGCGUCGGUGAGGUGAUAUGAACCGUUAUAACCGGCGAUUUCCGAAUGGGGAAACCCAGUGUGUUUCGACACACUAUCAUUAACUGAAUCCAUAGGUUAAUGAGGCGAACCGGGGGAACUGAAACAUCUAAGUACCCCGAGGAAAAGAAAUCAACCGAGAUUCCCCCAGUAGCGGCGAGCGAACGGGGAGGAGCCCAGAGCCUGAAUCAGUGUGUGUGUUAGUGGAAGCGUCUGGAAAGGCGUGCGAUACAGGGUGACAGCCCCGUACACAAAAAUGCACAUAUUGUGAGCUCGAUGAGUAGGGCGGGACACGUGGUAUCCUGUCUGAAUAUGGGGGGACCAUCCUCCAAGGCUAAAUACUCCUGACUGACCGAUAGUGAACCAGUACCGUGAGGGAAAGGCGAAAAGAACCCCGGCGAGGGGAGUGAAAAAGAACCUGAAACCGUGUACGUACAAGCAGUGGGAGCCUCUUAAUGGGGUGACUGCGUACCUUUUGUAUAAUGGGUCAGCGACUUAUAUUCUGUAGCAAGGUUAACCGAAUAGGGGAGCCGAAGGGAAACCGAGUCUUAACUGGGCGUUAAGUUGCAGGGUAUAGACCCGAAACCCGGUGAUCUAGCCAUGGGCAGGUUGAAGGUUGGGUAACACUAACUGGAGGACCGAACCGACUAAUGUUGAAAAAUUAGCGGAUGACUUGUGGCUGGGGGUGAAAGGCCAAUCAAACCGGGAGAUAGCUGGUUCUCCCCGAAAGCUAUUUAGGUAGCGCCUCGUGAAUUCAUCUCCGGGGGUAGAGCACUGUUUCGGCAAGGGGGUCAUCCCGACUUACCAACCCGAUGCAAACUGCGAAUACCGGAGAAUGUUAUCACGGGAGACACACGGCGGGUGCUAACGUCCGUCGUGAAGAGGGAAACAACCCAGACCGCCAGCUAAGGUCCCAAAGUCAUGGUUAAGUGGGAAACGAUGUGGGAAGGCCCAGACAGCCAGGAUGUUGGCUUAGAAGCAGCCAUCAUUUAAAGAAAGCGUAAUAGCUCACUGGUCGAGUCGGCCUGCGCGGAAGAUGUAACGGGGCUAAACCAUGCACCGAAGCUGCGGCAGCGACGCUUAUGCGUUGUUGGGUAGGGGAGCGUUCUGUAAGCCUGUGAAGGUGUGCUGUGAGGCAUGCUGGAGGUAUCAGAAGUGCGAAUGCUGACAUAAGUAACGAUAAAGCGGGUGAAAAGCCCGCUCGCCGGAAGACCAAGGGUUCCUGUCCAACGUUAAUCGGGGCAGGGUGAGUCGACCCCUAAGGCGAGGCCGAAAGGCGUAGUCGAUGGGAAACAGGUUAAUAUUCCUGUACUUGGUGUUACUGCGAAGGGGGGACGGAGAAGGCUAUGUUGGCCGGGCGACGGUUGUCCCGGUUUAAGCGUGUAGGCUGGUUUUCCAGGCAAAUCCGGAAAACCAAGGCUGAGGCGUGAUGACGAGGCACUACGGUGCUGAAGCGACAAAUGCCCUGCUUCCAGGAAAAGCCUCUAAGCAUCAGGUAACAUCAAAUCGUACCCCAAACCGACACAGGUGGUCAGGUAGAGAAUACCAAGGCGCUUGAGAGAACUCGGGUGAAGGAACUAGGCAAAAUGGUGCCGUAACUUCGGGAGAAGGCACGCUGAUAUGUAGGUGAAGCGACUUGCUCGUGGAGCUGAAAUCAGUCGAAGAUACCAGCUGGCUGCAACUGUUUAUUAAAAACACAGCACUGUGCAAACACGAAAGUGGACGUAUACGGUGUGACGCCUGCCCGGUGCCGGAAGGUUAAUUGAUGGGGUUAGCGGCAACGCGAAGCUCUUGAUCGAAGCCCCGGUAAACGGCGGCCGUAACUAUAACGGUCCUAAGGUAGCGAAAUUCCUUGUCGGGUAAGUUCCGACCUGCACGAAUGGCGUAAUGAUGGCCAGGCUGUCUCCACCCGAGACUCAGUGAAAUUGAACUCGCUGUGAAGAUGCAGUGUACCCGCGGCAAGACGGAAAGACCCCGUGAACCUUUACUAUAGCUUGACACUGAACAUUGAGCCUUGAUGUGUAGGAUAGGUGGGAGGCUUUGAAGUGUGGACGCCAGUCUGCAUGGAGCCGACCUUGAAAUACCACCCUUUAAUGUUUGAUGUUCUAACGUUGGCCCGUAAUCCGGGUUGCGGACAGUGUCUGGUGGGUAGUUUGACUGGGGCGGUCUCCUCCUAAAGAGUAACGGAGGAGCACGAAGGUUGGCUAAUCCUGGUCGGACAUCAGGAGGUUAGUGCAAUGGCAUAAGCCAGCUUGACUGCGAGCGUGACGGCGCGAGCAGGUGCGAAAGCAGGUCAUAGUGAUCCGGUGGUUCUGAAUGGAAGGGCCAUCGCUCAACGGAUAAAAGGUACUCCGGGGAUAACAGGCUGAUACCGCCCAAGAGUUCAUAUCGACGGCGGUGUUUGGCACCUCGAUGUCGGCUCAUCACAUCCUGGGGCUGAAGUAGGUCCCAAGGGUAUGGCUGUUCGCCAUUUAAAGUGGUACGCGAGCUGGGUUUAGAACGUCGUGAGACAGUUCGGUCCCUAUCUGCCGUGGGCGCUGGAGAACUGAGGGGGGCUGCUCCUAGUACGAGAGGACCGGAGUGGACGCAUCACUGGUGUUCGGGUUGUCAUGCCAAUGGCACUGCCCGGUAGCUAAAUGCGGAAGAGAUAAGUGCUGAAAGCAUCUAAGCACGAAACUUGCCCCGAGAUGAGUUCUCCCUGACUCCUUGAGAGUCCUGAAGGAACGUUGAAGACGACGACGUUGAUAGGCCGGGUGUGUAAGCGCAGCGAUGCGUUGAGCUAACCGGUACUAAUGAACCGUGAGGCUUAACCUUACAACGCCGAAG